AUUGAACGCUGGCGGCAUGCUUUACACAUGCAAGUCGAACGGUAACAGGCCGCAAGGUGCUGACGAGUGGCGAACGGGUGAGUAAUGCAUCGGAACGUGCCCAGUCGUGGGGGAUAACUGCUCGAAAGAGCAGCUAAUACCGCAUACGAUCUAUGGAUGAAAGCGGGGGACCGUAAGGCCUCGCGCGAUUGGAGCGGCCGAUGUCAGAUUAGGUAGUUGGUGGGGUAAAGGCUCACCAAGCCAACGAUCUGUAGCUGGUCUGAGAGGACGACCAGCCACACUGGGACGGGGACACGGCGCAGACUCCUACGGGAGGCAGCAGUGGGGAAUUUUGGACAAUGGGGGCAACCCUGAUCCAGCAAUGCCGCGUGCAGGAAGAAGGCCUUCGGGUUGUAAACUGCUUUUGUACGGAACGAAACGGUCUGGGUUAAUACCCUGGGCUAAUGACGGUACCGUAAGAAUAAGCACCGGCUAACUACGUGCCAGCAGCCGCCGUAAUAC
rnacentral:rRNA from 1 species